UACGAAGGGGGCUAGCGUUGCUCGGAAUCACUGGGCGUAAAGGGUGCGUAGGCGGGUCUUUUAAGUCAGGGGUGAAAUCCUGGAGCUCAACUCCAGAACUGCCUUUGAUACUGAAGAUCUUGAGUUCGGGAGAGGUGAGUGGAACUGCGAGUGUAGAGGUGAAAUUCGUAGAUAUUCGCAAGAACACCAGUGGCGAAGGCGGCUCACUGGUCCGGUACUGACGCUGAGGUGCGAAAGCGUGGGGAGCAAACAGG
rnacentral:rRNA from 1 species